rnacentral:rRNA from 1 species
GGGUAGUUUGACUGGGGCGGUCUCCUCCCAAAGAGUAACGGAGGAGCACGAAGGUUGGCUAAGCAUGGUCGGACAUCAUGCGGUUAGUGCAAAGGCAUAAGCCAGCUUGACUGCGAGAGUGACGGCUCGAGCAGGUACGAAAGUAGGUCUUAGUGAUCCGGUGGUUCUGAAUGGAAGGGCCAUCGCUCAACGGAUAAAAGGUACUCCGGGGAUAACAGGCUGAUACCGCCCAAGAGUUCAUAUCGACGGCGGUGUUUGGCACCUCGAUGUCGGCUCAUCACAUCCUGGGGCUGAAGUAGGUCCCAAGGGUACGGCUGUUCGCCGUUUAAAGUGGUACGCGAGCUGGGUUUAGAACGUCGUGAGACAGUUCGGUCCCUAUCUGCCGUGGGCGUUGGAAGAUUGAAAGGGGCUGCUCCUAGUACGAGAGGACCGGAGUGGACGCACCACUGGUGUUCGGGUUGUCAUGCCAAUGGCAUUGCCCGGUAGCUAAGUGCGGAAGAGAUAACCGCUGAAAGCAUCUAAGCGGGAAACUUGCCUUGAGAUGAGUCUUCCCUGACCCUUUAAGGGUCCUAAAGGAACGUUUAAGACUAAGACGUUGAUAGGUUGGGUGUGUAAGCAUAGCGAUAUGUUGAGCUAACCAAUACUAAUGAACCGUGAGGCUUAACCUG